AACAGAUUUAAAAUGGCAAGCUCAAUAAUUUUACCCUAACAAAAAAUGAGGGACUUUCUGGUCUCCAUAUUCUCAUAAAUAAAAGUUGCAUUCCAUGAGGAGAAAACAAAAAAACCCAUCACAGUGAACAAUUGAAUUGCUCCGUGGACAUCAUGCCUUUCUAAGCAAGCAUUGAAUAUAGGAGAUGUAUUUAUGAUAACCA
rnacentral:lncRNA from 1 species